CCUUUGAUUUUGCCACCCUCUUGCCUUCUGAUGGUGAGCCAUUCUUCAGUUGAUUGAAUGUUCCAUCAUUGAAAACCCCUCAAAUCACAGUCUCAUUGGGUCUUCUCCGAUGACGAAGUCCCUUCGAAAGAAGGGGAUGGCAAAACUUUAUCUCUAGAAUCCUCUUUCUUUGAUAAAAUGCUCGUGUCUCUCUAAAGCCC
rnacentral:lncRNA from 1 species